GUGCUACUUUUCUUCUUUAAUUACUGGCUUUAAUUGCUUUUAUAACUUGGGUUUCUAGGAAAGCUAGGGCAGUUUAACGUUCUCUUGUGGAUUAUGCUAUUUGGGCUGCACAGUCUGUACCCCUGUGCCUAAUCUACCCCUUUUUCACUUAACUUCUUCUGCCAGGUUCUAUGCCUUUUACCCUAGCUCCCAUCAUGAUAAAGUUCUUUUCAGUUAUGCAUUUUCUCAAACAAUUUACGUUUUGUUUCUUAUGGAUGUUUCUGUUUUUGUUGUUUGGUUGCAAAGACAAUGCAACUAAAAAUGUUGCUAUCAAGGGUCGUAAUAUUAACUUCUCGGUUAAUACGAGGCAAGGCAAAAUGGUGCCAAUUCUUAAGGAUUGUUCGAUUUGGAUUCCUUUGGGAUAGUUAUGGAUGCUUCUUGGUCUUAAAGGUUGUGGUAAAUUUACCCUUUUAAAGAUAUGAAGAUGAUGAGCAAUGGCCACCGGCUAUGGAUGUGAGUAAUGCUUUCUCUACAUCUUUACUCAGGUACAGUUUGAUCAAAGAAAUAACACACUGCGAAAGACUGCAUCACAAGGAAGUGUUAGAGGGACUGAAGAAUAAGCUCAAGAAGAAAGGAAGGGACAUAUGCUCUUAGCUCAGAGAAGGUGGUGAAGCAAUCAAAAUAGGCCCUUUUAUGGUAGUUUCACAUGAUUCAACUAUGAUCUGUUCAGUAUCUACAAACAAGUGACUGUUGGCCUGUUUGUCCUGAUGGAAAAAAGUGCCAAGGGAGUAGCAACGAGGAGAAAUGAAACUAAGCAGAGCUUUCUCGAAGUGUUCCAAGCCUUGUCGGACAAUGAAGACCAUGCAUUCCAACAAGGCUGAGUCGCAGGCAACAUUAUAAGAUAAUGACUUAACAAACCAAACUCCUCCUGGACAGCUUUAAGAGUUCAAUAAAUAUGUUAUUGCUGCGAUACGACAAUGGCACCACAUGGCUUUUCUUCUGUGGUAUAGAUGACAAAGUGACUUUUUUUUUUUUUUGUAUUUGCAGUUAUUCAUGAGAUAGUAGAUGGCAAUGACAAGCAGAGAAUUAACUCAUUUUAGUAAUCUAAAGGGUCUAUUGCAUUUCAAGAAAUUGCAGUUGUACAACAAAACAUCUUUUUGCAUACACUACAGUAGUUUAAAUUAUUUACAAGUUUCUUUUUAUCCUUUUAGGGGUGCAGAAUUAAUCUUUACAUGUUGCUUCACUCAGAACCACAAACAAGGAAAAAUGACGAUGAGCCGAAAUGGCCAGUGAUGGAAUUGAGUACUGCUUUCUCCAAAUCCUUAGGCCCAUCGUUUGACAGACCAAACUCCUCCUUAGACAUCUUGAAGAGUUUUUGCAAAAUGAAGUUGCUGAGAUAUGCCAAGAGAAUCACAA